UUAUUCAGUGUGUAAACAAGAAUGUCUGCACUUGAAUCACUCAACCUCUCAAUUUCAUACUUCCAUAUCUCAUCAUCUUCUCCAAACCCCAAUUUGCAUUCUUUCACAAAAUCAAAACUUUCAUUAAAACUUCCCACUUUAACCCCCAAAGUUUUCCUGAAAACCCCUUUCUCCCCAAUUUCAAGAAAAUCAAAUUCAUGCUCAUUAUCAACAAUCCAAAAAGUAGCAGAACAAGAACAUGAUGAAGAAGGUGAAACCCAGAAAGAAGAAAACAAAAGGAAGCUUUUCGUAGUUGGUCUUCCGUGGUCUUUCACUGUUUUUGAUGUCAAGAACUUCUUUGGUGAAUGUGGGACGGUUGCAGAUGUUGAGAUAAUAAAAAGGGAGGAUGGGAAGAGAGGAUUUGCAUUUGUUACAAUGUCUUCUGGUGAAGAAGCUUUGGCUGUAGUCAAUAGAUUCAAUUCUCAUGAACUUUCAGGUAGGAUUUUAAAGGUUGAAUAUGCUAAGAAAUUCAAGAAACCCACUCCUCGUUCUCCAACUUCACUACGUUGGAAUGAGACACGGCAUAAGUUGUUUGUGUCAAAUCUUGCAUGGAAAGUAAGGGCUACCAACCUUAAACAGUUCUUUGUGGGUUUCAAUCCUGUUUCUACCAGGGUUGUUUUUAGCCCUUCAGGAAGCUCUGCUGGAUACGGGUUCAUUUCAUUUGCCUCAAAAGAAGAAGCUGAUGCUGCAUUAUCGGCCUUGAAUGAGAAGGAAUUGUUUGGGAGGCCGAUUAGUUUAAAGUUUAGUGAAAAAUCUAGCGAUAAAUCAGAAGUUAAUGAGGAAAACGAAAACCAUUCAGAGGAACAUCAUGAUGCUGAAUCAUAGCUUUUCACACUAUGUUUAUGUAGUAGACUAGAAACUGGCAGCAGAAGAUUAACUAAUACGAUUGUCACUCAACAAAAGAAAGAAGGUAGAAUUUAAGGGUUUUUUUAUGAGAUGAGCAAGGAACUAGUAACUUUAACUGAAGCUUGUACUCGUAUCACUCAAUUAGUUAAAGAGUCCAGCUUGAACCACCUAGGAGAAUGCCUUCACUCAACUUAACCUUCGUAUGCCUUUGGGGAACUAAGGUACGUAUCUUCAGGAGCCAACUUAAAUUAUGGAUAGCUCGAUUUGUUAUCUUGAGUCAAACAAGCUAUUCGAGCUUAACAAGUCCAACGAGCCUAAAUAUGGCGUGUUGCAUGAUUUCAAGGAUACAGAAUUCUCUUCCGUUUCAGGAGUUCUCAUAACAUUCUUAAACGGCCGUCUGAAUUCAUAUAUGUAUAACU